rnacentral:rRNA from 1 species
GGGGAUAAAUUAAUUAUUAAAUGAUUAAUAAAAGAAAUUUUUAUUAUAAUAUAUUUUAAUGGGGGUUAAAGUAUAAAAUAAGAAAAAAUUUGAAAAUUUAUAGGGUAAGAGUAUUGUGAAAGAAAUUUGAAAUAUAUGAAAAUUAAUUAAUUAAUAAGUAAAUUUAAUUUAUUGUAUCUUGUGUAUCAGAGUUUAUUAAUAAAAAUUAUUAAAUAGUAAAAUCUCGAAUUUAAAAGAGAUAAUUAAUUAAAAAUUUUAUUGUUUUAAAAAUAUUUUAAAUAAUUAAUUUGAAAUGAGAUGUUAAUCGUUUUUAAAUAUAUCUAGUUUUUUUAGAAAUAAAUUAAAUUUAUAAUUUAAUUAAAAUAAUUAAAAAUUAAUUUUUAAUUAUUUUAAUUAAAUUAAAUAUUUUAAGGGAUAAUCUUUAAAUUAAAUUUUUAUAAUUAAUUUUAUUAGUUAAUAAAAUUUUUAAAAUUUAUAUUGUUUAUAAAUUAUAUUUUUUUUUAUAAAAAAUUUUAUAAAUUAUAAAAUUUUUAAUUAAAAUUUAAUUUUUUAUAAAAAAAAAUAUUUUAAAAUAAAUAAAAAAUAGUAAUAAUGAUAAAAUUAGUAUAAAUCUUAAUAAAUUAAAAAUAAAAUAAUUUAAUAAUUAAUUAAAAGGAAUUCGGCAAAAUUUUAUAUUCACCUGUUUAACAAAAACAUGUCUUUUUGUAAAUAAUUUAAAGUCGAAUCUGCCCACUGAUUUAAUUAAAGGGCUGCAGUAAAUUGACUGUACAAAGGUAGCAUAAUCAUUAGUCUUUUAAUUGAAGACUUGUAUGAAAGAUUUGAUGAGAUAUAUACUGUCUCUUUUUUAUAUUUAGAAUUUAAUUUUUUAGUAAAAAAGCUAAAAUUUUUUUAAAAGACGAGAAGACCCUAUAGAGUUUUAUUAUUAUUAUGAUUUUAAUUUUUUAUUAAUAAUUUAAUAAAAAUUAUGGUAAUAAUUUUAUUGGGGUGAUAAAAAAAUUAAAUGAACUUUUUUUUUAAAAAUUAAACAUUAAUUUAUGAUAAAAUGAUCCAUAAUUUAUGAUUAAAAGAAAAAAUUACCUUAGGGAUAACAGCGUAAUUUUUUCUUUUAGUUCUUAUAAAAAAAAAAGUUUGCGACCUCGAUGUUGGAUUAAGAUAAAAUUUAAAUGUAGAAGUUUAAAAUUUUGAUCUGUUCGAUCAUUAAAAUCUUACAUGAUCUGAGUUCAAACCGGUGUAAGCCAGGUUGGUUUCUAUCUUUAGAUAUUUAAAUUAUUUUAGUACGAAAGGAUUAAAUAAUUAAAAUAAUUUUAUUAUAUUAGAAUAUUAUUAAUUAUAUAUGUAUAUAUAUAUAUAUAUAUAUAUAUAUAUAUA